GAUGCAAAAUAAUUAAAAAGCGCAAAACAUUUUACCAAAAAUUCAAAACGUAUUUAAUAUUAAUGAAAAAAAAAUUCAUAAAAAAUUCAUAAAAUUUCUAUCAAUGGAAUUCGUCAUCUCAUAUCCAUGGAGGAUCGAAAUAAGUUGGAAAUAAUCGAAGCUUUUGAAAAAAUACCAAUUUGUAAAGGCACGAUAGAUAAACGUUUGUUGAAAGUAAACAUAUCGCGGACGUACUGUAGUACGAGUAUUAAAAAAGUGGAAAGAAAGUUGCCAAUGUGCC